UACGGGAGGCAGCAGUGGGGAAUAUUGCACAAUGGGCGCAAGCCUGAUGCAGCCAUGCCGCGUGUAUGAAGAAGGCCUUCGGGUUGUAAAGUACUUUCAGUCGUGAGGAAGGUGUUAAGGUUAAUAACCUUAGCAAUUGACGUUAGCGACAGAAGAAGCACCGGCUAACUCCGUGCCAGCAGCCGCGGUAAUACGGAGGGUGCGAGCGUUAAUCGGAAUUACUGGGCUAAAGGGCACGCAGGCGGUUAAUAAGUUGGAUGUGAAAUCCCCGGGCUUAACCUGGGAAUGGCAUUCAAGACUGGUUAGCUAGAGUCUUGUAGAGGGGGUAGAAUUCCAUGUGUAGCGGUGAAAUGCGUAGAGAUGUGGAGGAAUACCGGUGGCGAAGGCGGCCCCUGGGACAAAGGACUGACGCUCAUGUGCGAAAGCGUGGGGAGCAAACGAGGAUUAGAUA
rnacentral:rRNA from 1 species